ensembl:snoRNA SNORA70 Small nucleolar RNA SNORA70
CUGCAGCUUAUUAAGCCGACCAGACUGGGUGUGGUACAGUCCUGGUGUGCAAAGGCUGCAGACAGUAACUCUCUGGUUAGUGUAUGUGCUUAGCUGUGAAGUGCUGGGCUUUUCAAAGGGACCAUUGAGACAAGU